AGGCUGCUUGUUGUUCGGGUUUCACAAGUUUGCCCUCUGGUUUUACUGUUAAAGAGAGGCCAUUGUAACUGAGAACUAGCUUCGAAUACAGCUGCUGCUACAUCUUUCCAGGCUUAUGAGAUAAUCCUGUUUUUGGUAGCCAGGUAUUUAACAUCUGUCUUUCAAAGGGAUGUAGCUCUCAUCUACUUCUCCAGAACCAAGUCUACAUGAGGCCAUGUGUCUGCUGCCAUGCUUCACACCUGGAUGAUAAUGGACUCACCUCUGGAUCAGUAAACAAGCCCCCAAAUUAUAUGCUUUCUUUUAUAAGAAUUGCUUUGGCUAUGGUGUUCUUCACAAAAAUAAAAUAGCGAUGAAGACAGUAGUUGAUACCAGGAAACCGAGUAUUGCUGUGACAGGCAUGACCAUGCUGUAUAUUGGUAGAAUGUGAACUUUGGACUAGAAAAGUGGCUGAGUGGUUUAAGUCGGGAUUUUAUGGGCUAUACUAGUAGCAAGGACACUUGUAUUGGAAAAAUGUAGACAAGUGGGAGACCAGCACAGGAAGUUGCAGAGGGAGAAAUUAUACAAAGUGAAUACAAAGCAACCUAGUGACCAUUCUUGAUGUAUUUCAGCAAAGAGGUGGCUGCUUUUGCCCAUGUCCUGAAAAUCUGCCCGAGUUUUUGAUUAAUGAUGGCAGAGGAGAUGUCAAGACAGCUUAGAAUUGAUCAUAUCAUAUGGUUAUUAGUAAUCACUCUUAUUUAGGUCAGUAAUGGAAAAGAUAAAGCUAGACAAAAAGAAUUACCAAAUGUACAGAUUGAGGGGAAAAGAAAGCACUAGAGAGUGUAAUGGAGCUAAGUCCAGUGCUUCUAGAAGAUUAAAAUUUAAAGAAAAAUUUGACACUAAGUGGAAUCAAAAGAGUAGUAACCUCAGGUAAGAUCCCACCCAGUUAAGGUUCCAACUUGUAAAAGGGAAUUAAAGAAGUUUAAGCAGUGAAGGAAACUAUCAAGAAGGGAAAGCUGAUGCAAAUGUAAAUGAAUUAGAGGGCCAAGUUCCAGGCCAGCAAGCAGCUGAAUUUGGCAGCUUUAGCCAAGUGGUUCUGGCCUUAGAGUCAAGGAAAUCAAGAGAGCAAGUCCUUACAGUAUACAAAGGAAUGGCUCUUCCCACACUGGCUAAGAAAAGGUGCUGAGUCCAGGCAAGUGCUGUGGGUGUUGAGGACCCCCUGCAGGUGUCCAUGCAGUGAUCCAUGAAGAAAUGAGAAUGAAACCUUGGUUCAGAUAGACUUCGUCAACCUAGAUCAAACUUCCGGGAGUUUAAUGCUAGGCCAUUCAUUGUCAGCAUAUUAAAACAUAGUACAAUUUGGGAAAAUUACUAAAUAUUUUCCCUUUAAGUAAAUUAUUUUAUUCUAUUUUUGGAAGAUUUACUUAGUUUUAUUUUAUUUGGAAAGAUGAAUAAAUAGUAGAAAAUGUAUCUAAUCCAUUUUGUAAGGAAUAUUAAAAUUAUUCAAAAUAAAAUAUCUGGUUAUGUGAUUUGU
rnacentral:lncRNA from 1 species